GUAGGUGGCAAGCGUUGUCCGGAAUUAUUGGGCGUAAAGCGUGCGCAGGCGGUCCUUUAAGUCUGAUGUGAAAGCCCACGGCUCAACCGUGGAGGGUCAUUGGAAACUGGGGGACUUGAGUACAGAAGAGGAAAGCGGAAUUCCAAGUGUAGCGGUGAAAUGCGUAGAGAUUUGGAGGAACACCAGUGGCGAAGGCGGCUUUCUGGUCUGUAACUGACGCUGAGGCGCGAAAGCGUGGGGAGCAAACAGGGAUUAGAUACCCUGGUAGUCCACGCCGUAAACGAUGAGUGCUAAGUGUUAGGGGGGUUUCCGCCCCCUUAGUGCUGCAGCUAACGCAUUAAGCACUCCGCCUGGGGAUACGGCCGCAAGGCUG
rnacentral:rRNA from 1 species